rnacentral:lncRNA from 1 species
CAGAAAUUAUGGAGGUAAAAAAAUAUAAAAAAUAACAGAAAUCUUUUAAAAAGUGAUGUAAAAAUGAAGAAGCUGAACAAACAAACUAGAAUACAAAGAUAUUUAUAUCAAACACAUAUGUAAGCACAAUUUUAAAAGUCACAGAAAAGAGAAUCUCGGGAGCUGCAAGAUAAAAGUGAUGUGUUGGCUGGGCGCGGUAGCUCAAGCUUGUAAUCCCGGCACUUUGGGAAGCUGAGGUGGGUGAAUCACCUGAGGUCAGGAGAUCGAGACUAGCCUGACCAACAUGGAGAAACCCUGUCUCUACUAAAAAUACAAACUUAGCUGGGUGUGGUGGCAUAUGCCCGUAAUCCCAGCUACUCGGGAGGCUGAGGUAGGAGAACUAAACUAACUGGACCUUUAAUAACCUACUUUUACAGUCUCAAUAUAAGCCCUAGCUCUGAGUCACUGGGCUCAAGCUUUAAUUUCCAUGUUAGAGUUGCUCACUUGGUUUUUGAAACUAAGUUGUUUGAAAAAUCCAAAAAAAUUACUCAAACACAGUAUUCCUAUAAGGGAAGAAAAUUUUAAGGUGCUUACAUUUUAUACCUUAAUAAGAAAAGCAAAAGUAUUUCUAUCAGAAAAUAAAUGUAUUAUUCUAUUAAUUCCAUUAAAAAUCAUGCAGCAAACAUUUAGUCAUAUGGAAACACUUCCAGGCAAUACCAAGUUUCAUCUCAUAAAAUUUAGCAUAAAACUCAGAAAUCAAGAUAACAGAAUUUGAACAGAGAUAUUCGCUGUCAAAAAUUUACCCUGCCAAAAAAAGGAACUGAUGUUUUCAUGAAUCUAUGUAACUCACCAAUUAUCUACCACAUUUUCUUGUGGAAACGUAUUCAUUUUCUACGGCAAAAAUGGAAUAGACAUUUUUCCUCUUCUUUUUCUUGGUAGCAUUCUGAAAGCUAAGCUUGAAAUUCUGUUUGAAAUCACCCAGCCAUUAAAAGCUACACCUGAGAAAACUUGUAAACUCACUCUGGGAAAGAAAAAGGUAAGUGAAAAUUUUUAACAAAUGAAAUAUAUGAUUAAUUUUUUUGAAUCCCACGUCUUUUAUGCCCUUUGUAAAUAUUUUUCUACCUUUCAAGCCCUACUAAUAUAAUGUAACCUUACAGCUAAAAAACAGGUGAAAAUAAGUGAACAAAUCUCUUCAAGGUGACAAAUCCAGGAAUGGCAGUGCUGGUUAAAUAACAGAUGUGUCUGACUCACGUUUCAAGUCAGGCCAUUCAAUCACUUGAGAGAUCCUUCCACCCACUCCUGCUCACUUAUGUGCUCAAGAACCACCCAUUCAGGAGACACUGCACUAUUUUUCGGUGACUGCCCUAGGUGCAUUUUACUUUGCAAGUUCUUACACCAUCUCACUGGAGUCAGUUUGUUGUUGUUUUUGUUGUUUGUCUUUCGGGAUACUAUUUUUUUGGUCACAUAUUUUUCACUGUUUUUUACUCUUUUUCUUUUACUAUAUUUAUUUCACUAUUCUUCUGCUCCCUUACAGAAUCCAGGGGGCAGAAGUUAUUACUGUGUUUGUUCCUCAUUACCAGCAUCUGAUUGGCUGACAAGCAAUUU